rnacentral:lncRNA from 1 species
AAGAGGUUUAGAGGAGUAAGAAAGUGGUGUUUUUCUUGAUUCCGACCAACUCCGCCGCCUCCGGCGCAGUGGUGCCGGAGCUCCGAUGGUGGUUCAUUUUUGACAUGAGAAUUGAAUUUGGUGUGUAGAGAUUAUGAAUUAUGGUUGUUGAAUUUUUCCCCCAUUUCCUUUGCAAAUUAUGUUGGGCUUAACCAUUAAGCCCAAUAGUUUGCUUUCCACACCCCUGUUUUGCUUAGCAACAUACUUGCUAAAUCCAACUACAUUUAUUAGUAUUUGGGCUUAUUUUGUUGGGCCCAAAUCCCCAUUUUCUGAAUUUUGCACUCUUU